CUACAUGAGUAGCGAUAAAGGGCGUGAAAAGCGCCCUCGCCGAAAGCCCAAGGUUUCCUACGCAACGUUCAUCGGCGUAGGGUGAGUCGGCUCCUAAGGCGAGGCAGAAAUGCGUAGUCGAUGGGAAACAGGUCAAUAUUCCUGUACCGAUUCUAGAUGCGAUGUGGGGACGGAGAAGGUUAGGUCAGCCGGGUGUUGGACGUCCCGGUUUAAGCGUGUAGGCGUGCCCCUUAGGCAAAUCCGGGGGGCUAAGCUGAGGCGUGAUGACGAGGAACCACGGUUCCGUAGUGAUUGAUACCGAGCUUCCAGGAAAAGCCACUAAGCUUCAGUCUAGAGUUGACCGUACCGCAAACCGACACAGGUGGGCAGGAUGAAAAUUCUAAGGCGCUUGAGAGAACUCAGGAGAAGGAACUCGGCAAAUUAACACCGUAACUUCGGGAGAGGGUGUGCCCCGGUAGCGUGUAGAGACUUGCUCUCGAAGCGCGAUGGGGUUGCAGUGAAAUGGUGGCUGCGACUGUUUAAUAAAAACACAGCACUCUGCAAACACGAAAGUGGACGUAUAGGGUGUGACGCCUGCCCGGUGCCGGAAGGUUAAGUGAUGGGGUGCAAGCUCUUGAUCGAAGCCCCGGUAAACGGCGGCCGUAACUAUAACGGUCCUAAGGUAGCGAAAUUCCUUGUCGGGUAAGUUCCGACCUGCACGAAUGGCGUAACGAUGGCCACACUGUCUCCUCCUGGGACUCAGCGAAGUUGAAAUGUUUGUGAAGAUGCAAUCUACCCGCGGCUAGACGGAAAGACCCCAGGAACCUUUACUGUAGCUUUGCAUCGGACGUUGAACCGGUUUGUGUAGGAUAGGUGGGAGACUGUGAAGCCGGGACGCUAGUUUCGGUGGAGUCAACCUUGAAAUACCACCCUGAUUUGUUUGAGGUUCUAACCUUGGUCCGUGAAUCCGGAUCGGGGACCGUGCAUGGUAGGCAGUUUGACUGGGGCGGUCUCCUCCCAAAAGGUAACGGAGGAGUACGAAGGUACGCUUAGGGCGGUCGGACAUCGCCCACAAAGUGCAAUGGCAAAAGCGUGCUUGACUGCGAGACCCACAAGUCGAGCAGGUACGAAAGUAGGUCAUAGUGAUCCGGUGGUUCUGUAUGGAAGGGCCAUCGCUCAACGGAUAAAAGGUACUCUGGGGAUAACAGGCUAAUUCCUCCCAAGAGUUCAUAUCGACAGGGGAGUUUGGCACCUCGAUGUCGGCUCAUCACAUCCUGGGGCUGUAGUCGGUCCCAAGGGUAUGGCUGUUCGCCAUUUAAAGUGGUACGCGAGCUGGGUUUAAAACGUCGUGAGACAGUUUGGUCCCUAUCUGCCGUGGGCGCUGGAAAUUUGAAGGGGGCUGCUCCUAGUACGAGAGGACCGGAGUGGACGAACCUCUGGUGUACCGGUUAUGACGCCAGUCGUAUCGCCGGGUAGCUAAGUUCGGAAGAGAUAAACGCUGAAAGCAUCUAAGCGUGAAACUCGCCUUAAGAUAAGAUUUCCCGGAGUCUUGAACUCCCUGAAGGGUCGUCGAAGACCACGACGUUGAUAGGUCAG
rnacentral:rRNA from 1 species